AUAAGGUGCAACAUGUUGCACGUGUCACGUGAAACGCACCUUAGUUCCCAUCUCCUCUAUCGACAAACUGAACAGUUCCUCUUCUUCAUAUUUCUCCUUCUUCUUUCCUCCUUUCUCAAGUUCUCAUUCCAAAUCGUAUAGCGACAUCGAAUCGUACUCAUCAGAAACAAUAUAGAUUAUGUCUAUCAGAUUCAAAUUCAGAAGCUCUGUCAAUUUCGAUACAAUCGAAAUCGAUGGUGGUAAACCCUACAUAUCGGUGGGAGAACUCAGAUCUAAAAUUCUGUGUCAGAAGAAGUUAAGCGGCAUAUGCCAUAAAGACUUUGAUCUCGUCUUCUUAGAUGACCUCACUGGUCAAGAGUACAAUGACGAUGAAUUCAAGAUUCCUAGUGGUUCGAGUGUUAUCAUAAAGAGAGUUCCAGCAGAACCGGUGCCUUUAGCUAUGUUAAGACAUCAUAAACCUGAAGCAAGUGAGCUUAGUGAGGAUAUUCCGAAAGAUGCAGGUAUCAAUCGCAAUAAACCUGAAGAAACAAUUCUAGAGAAGAAGCCUGAACCUGUAGAUGUUGAACACAUGGAAUUGGAAAAAGUGGCGAACACAAAGGGUAUUGAUUUGGAAAAAGUUGACUUGCCAUCAGAACUAAGAUGUCCUAUUUGCAACACAUAUUUCAAGAAUGCUGUGAUGAUACCAUGCUGUCAGCAUAGCUUUUGUAAAAAAUGCAUCUGUGAUGUACUUCCAUUGAAGGCAAGGUGCCCUAAAUGUUCUUCCACUAAGUAUAGGGUAGAACACUUGCUACCAAAUUUAUCCCUCAGGCAUGCGAUUGAGCAUUUUCUUGAAUCCCAGAUUCUUGCCACUGCUCCAGAAAAUGAUUUGCAGAAAUAUGUCCCAGAUGGAGAAUCUGGUAUUCAAGGAAAAGAGGUUUCCACUAAAAGGAAAUUGGAUUUGCUUUAUUCUGAGAAAGGACCAAAUCAGAAUAUGGGAGAGUCUGUGUACGAGUCACUAAACAAGAAAAAUGAUUUCUUGAAUUCAACUCCUUUGCUUAAAGUUAAGAAUAGAGAUGCUCAUAAAGAUUUGACACCUUCUGUGGACUCUGAAGGUGAAAACCAACCUGUUAUGCCUCAAGUUUGCAUGCCAAAUGAAGGUGGAGAUCGAGGCUAUGCAGUUAACAAUAGAAACAACAUCAAUAUGGGAGGGCGAACUUGCUACAUGUGUGGCUCUCCAACCCAUUUCAUAAGAGAUUGCCCUAUUGCUUCCAAUGAACAUCAUAUGUAUCAUAAAGGAGAUCAUAUGUUUCAAGGAGGUGUGUCAGGCUACCCGAUGCCCUACUGGAACACUCCCACUCCCAUGUUUCCUCCAUUCAAUCCUUACAUGAAUAUGUAUGGAAAUCCAGGGAUGCUCCCUUUUAGUCCUGUCACACCUUAUGGAGUUCCACCUUAUGUUGCAUCUACAUAUGCCGCCUUUCCUGUCCCUAGUGGAGUUACAAGAAUGGGAGGUAUGGCACCUGUAGGACCCAGAGCUGAACAUUCCACAAGACGCCCUGAGAAUUUGGAUUUUCAGAACAUUGAUAACCGAAUGAAAUAUGGCCAUGAAAAGAGACAAAGGUCUUCUGAUUAUGAAGAUGAUGGAAAUGGAAUCCCAAAGCGCCAUGAGUCUCACUCCCAUGAGCUUUCUAGAUCAUCAGAAUAUAAAUCCCAUAGAAGCAGGGGAAAGGCUGUGAGCAAUUCAGAAGAAAGCCAUGGCAGAAAGUUACAAAAAGAUCAUCACUAUGACAAACAUCAAGAUCUAAACAUCAGAUCUAGUCAUAAUAAAAGAUAUGAAAAACGUUCUCAUUCCACAAACGAUGGUCGAGAACAUGGAUCAUAUCAUACAGAUAGAUCGAUUUCAGGGGUAGAACUAGAAGUAGAAGAUGUGCAUAGUGGUAACCAUAGGUAUGAUGAAGCGAGGCAUAAAAAUGACAAAAGGCAUCAUCAUCAUCAUCAUCAUCAUAGUAGCAGGGAUCAAUCAGACAGUGAUUGUAGCUGUAGCCGUCAUUCAAGAAAAAGAAGGGAUGAUAAAAGGAAGGACACGUGGCAGAUGGUGAAUGGUUCUUCAGAUAAUGACUAUGAUCAUCAUCAGAAUAAGAGGAAAAAGGUGCAUUAGAAGAACAAGUUGAAGGUAAAUAUGUAUUUGAAUUUGAAGCUGCAGAAUGGGCCCACUUAGGCAAUCUUACCCGAUUUAAUAGUGUGGUGAGCUGUUGGACAUUAAAGCCAUCACUAGCUUUUUUAACUUUUGUUAACUAACGCUUUUGAUGCCUUCACCACAAAUACAAAAAAAAAAAAAAAAAAAAAAACUUUAGACCCUCUUCAUAUUCUUGAGUAUGAAGUGUGGAUGAGGCACUUAUGCAUUGCUGGACAAACAUUCUGAAGUGAAGACUUAUUGGAGCCGAUUGAGGUAUGUUUUAUAUAAUAUGCAUCUCUUAAAGCUUUCUUGGCAUAUCCUCUUUUUUCUAAAAUGGUUUUGGGUUACAUAUUUGAUGGGUCAAAUGUAGAAACUUAAAAUUACCCAUUUGACCUUAUAUGUCUAUGAAUCACCAAAAGACCCCCUUUUGACCAGUAUUAAAAAUUACCCAUUUGACCUGGCCAUUUUGCCAUCUCUGUUUUGGAACACUAUAAAAUGGAGGUAAAUCAACUUAGUUUAUAUUGUUAACAAAUAGUUAUUUCUAAUCAUUUUAUUUCAUAAUAUUAUAUUAUGGGGCAUAAUGGUUGGGAGGUCUAUAUCUACUUUAAUAUUUACCUACUUAAAAUGAAGCUCAAAAUUUUAAUUGGGGGGAAAAGUUCUCAACUUGAGUUCACCCAUGUGCAUGCCUUUGCACACACACACACACACACACACACAUAUAUAUAUAUAUAUAUAUAUAUAUAUAUAUGUGUGUGUGUGUGUGUGUGUGUGUGUGUGUGAUGUGCGCACAUAUUUACCGUAUGUAUCUGUCUGCAAUCUGCAUACAUAUAUGUGUGAGUGUACAUAUAUACCCGUAUGCUUAUCUUUCACACAAAUGUUUUUGGGUAGGGACCACAUCAAAUUUAUUAGUGGUUUAUUAGGUUAGGUUAAAAUCGAUGAAUAUUAUGAAUCAUUUAAACAACAAAAUGGUAUUACCUCAUGGCUAUAUAGUGACAUCAAUUUAAUAUGAAAGUGAUACUUAAGAUUUUAUCAACCAGAAAUGACAACAGUUUUAUUAACAAAUAUUAUAGAGAUGUACACAUAUAUUCAUUUUGAUUUAUAAAUUAUGUUUUUGCAAAAAAAAUAAAAAUAAAAAAUAACCAUAUUAUCAACCUUGUAGAAAGAGUAAUUUUGACCAACUUAUCUGUAAGUAAGUUGAUUCUGAUUUUUGCUAUAUUGUAAACGGUCAAUGAAGUAAAACUAAAUAUUGAGUAAAAAAAUUGACCAAAAUAAAGAGGCAUUGAUGGCUUUUCCCUCUCACAAAUGUCGUUUUUGAUAUCAAUUUCAAAGUUUUACAAAUAGCUUGCAAAUUAACCAUACCUAUCUAUUAUGGGUAGUUUUUAGCUAAGGUGACGUUAGUUUACUUUGUGCGACUCCUUUAUUUGUUGUGAGAUGUGAAGAUUUUAAUCAUGCCAUGUAUUAUCUUGGAAAAUGCAAUCAUAUUUUCUUGAAUCUUGAAACGUUUUGGAGUAUAUGAUGUUAGGAAUAAUGAAACGUUUUCUAGAUUUGCCCUUUAUUUGGAGGAGAGAAAGCUAUGCUUAACGUAUCAUAACAUUAAGUUUAGGUUGUGUACAAAAUUCGUGCUUGUAGUUAUGUUGUUUAGCUAGCGGACAAAAAUAUUAUUUUGGGGGUUAGAAGUAUUGUUUGUUAUAGAGUACAAGAAAUAGUUUUUCUCUAUACUAUUGUGACUUUAGAUUGUGUGUAAGAAACCCUCGAGUAGCGAGUAGGCUCUUUGAUAGAAAAAAUAAGCAUAUUCAUGAGUACGAGGCCACAUUUGAGUUUGGUGCUUCAAAAAAGCCUAUUAUGGUUUUCAAAUCAAGGUAUGAUUAUGGAGAUAGAAUGAUUUCAGUUCAAGAUUCGAAACUAUUUUCAUAACACUGAAAACAAUUUGGGGUUAAUAUGAGCAUGGAUAAGAGGGUUGUUAGGUAAGAGAUGUCACGGGGAAGGGGAGGGGGAGGGGUUACUUUUUGCACAAAAUAGAAAAAAGUUAAAUCAUUACCACAAAAUUUCGCUUGAAAAACACUAUUAUAUGUGUUAAAUCCACUUACACAAAUAUAUAAUAUUGUUAUUAACAUCUAAAUUGUUAUGGACUAAUUGCACCACCAAAGGGUGUUGAAAAAUAUACCCCUCAGUUACCACCAAAGGGUUGAGGAUUCAAGUCCCUUUUAAGCUAAAAGGUGUGGAUUUAUGAGUAUAGCAUGAGGUAUGUGAGUUGUUAUAAAAAAUGAAUGACUAACAUAAGCAAUUGGUAAUACUAACCAAGUUUUUGUAUUUUCAACAACUAAAUACAAAUGUUUGGAAUUUUAAGUUAUAAGGGAAAACUACUUUGUCUAAUCACAUUGCAUAAGUAGGAAAUCACUUGCUAUUCGAUACAUGAAUAAAAAAAGAUGAAUCCCUUAAAGAUAGGUUUAAAACCUUAGUAAAGGGCCUAUAAGACCAUCGCCCACACAACACUAUUUAAUAUUUUUACACCAAAAUAAUGUGAAAAAUGAUGCAAAUAAUGUUCAUCUUUGAUCCCACACCAUUUUAAAGUAUAUUCCUUGCCUCCUCGGUGUAUCCAAUUUUUUAUAGAUCGUCAAAAACAUUUUUCAACUUAUUUGAUUUUACAUUCUUAUUUAUAUCUUUUUUGUUCUAUAACUUUCUAAAAUAUAUUAUCACAAAACUUAUAACCAAAAACCAAAGUACCAAUAUAACAUAUCAAAAUUGGUGCUAUAGUAUUCUUUUAUACCAAAAUAGCGUAACAUAUCAAAAUUGGUGUUAUACCAAAAUAGUGUGAAAAAUAGAGCGAGGUAGAAAAUCAAAAUAGAGUGAAAAACAAUCUUUGUAGUGGGGUUGGUUGGAGAUGCAAUGAUAACCUUUUUCCAACUGUCACAAACGUAAAAAAAAAUUCUCACACAUUUAUUCAUGAGUGCAUUGUUAUUGUCAUAAAGCACAAAAAAUAAAUAAUUCUCACGUUUAUUCCUUUUUGAUUAUUUUUCCCUUUUCAUCGUGUGGUAUACAAAAAGGGGAAAGUGACUUUCGCGACUCCCCCUAUAUUAUGAGGUUUUGAAGUAAGGGAUCACCUUUGGUGAUUUUACUAGGCACAACUCUUUUUAGACCGUGUCACACACAUUUUCCUAUUGAACCACAAUGCAUGAACUUGAGACAUUUUAUAUGGGACGCCUAACCCUCACCUGACGAGUCACCGCAAAAAUAUUAAUAUUAUAAUUAGGGGUGAGCAAAAACCGAAUCGCAAACCGAAAAAACCGCAUAAACCUAAACCGAAAUAAAAACCGAUGAUGCGGUUUCUAUUCUUGCAAAAACCGCAAAAAACCGAACCGCACCGCACGUGCGCGCGCGCGCACACACACACACAUAUAUAUAUAUAUAUAUAUAUAUAUAUAUAUAUAUAUAUAUAUAUAUAUAUAUAUAUAUAUAUAUAUAUAUAUAUAUAUGGUUUGUGAGAUUGUUAUUUGCUUUAACAAUGUGCUUUAAAAAAACCUAAAUAUAAUUUUCAUUGUUAAUCUCUUAUUUUUCUUAUUAUAACUCUGACAAAAUUGCAAAAAUUGUCAUGUUAAAAAUAAAAUAUGUGGUUUAGGUAAAAAAACCGAUUGGUGGUGCAUCGGUGUUUCGAUUUUGAAUAUUUUGUGCAUUUUUAUCUAUAUCCUGCCAAUUUUAACAACUCGGGUGUAAACUUUUUUAAAAUGAUAAUUACCGUCAACGACUAUUUUUGAAAUUGUGUCUUCUUACCAAAUUACACAGACCAAUUUUGUAUCUAUUUUUUUUAAUUUUAUUGAAUUAUUAUAUAUUAUUUUUUUUAAUUUUCUUUUUAUUGGAUUAUUCUUUAUUAAUAGAUAUUAUUUAUUGGUUUGUUAAUUUCUUAAUUUCUUUAUAUUGGAUAAUAAUAAUAAUAAUAAUAAUAAUAAUAAUAAUAAUAAUAAUAAUUAUUAUUAUUAUUAUUAUUAUUAUUAUAUAAAUAAAGAUUAUUUUGUUGGACUAUUAAUUUCUUUUAAUUAUUUUUCUAAGUUUUUUAUUGGAUUAUUAUAUAUUAAUAAAUAUUAUUUAUAACUUAAUAAAUACUUCAUUGGUUCCAUAUUUAUUGUUCAUUUUUGACUUUUGAAAUAUGUUUUUUUUUUUUUUUCAGUUUUUUCCUUAAAUAUUUUUAUUUGUGUUAUAAAUUACUUAAUGAAACUUAUAACAAUGAAAAGACAUUUAAAAUGCAAUUUAUUAAUAACUUUUGCAUCAGGUAUUAUAUAUCAAAAACAAAAAUAUUUAAUGUUAAAGUUGAAGAAUAAAGACUUCAAAAGUUAAAAGUGAACUAAAGAUAUGGUAUAGAGUGAGUAUUACUUUAUUGGACUAUUAAUUUCAUUUAGUUAUUUUUUUUUAAAAUUUUAUUUUUAUUGGAUAAAUUCUUUUAGUUAAAUCCCACCCACCUACCUCUCUUACUUUAUUUCAAAUAUUUAGAAGAUAACCUAGUUUAGACAACACCACCACCAACAUUGGUCCGACAAUUGUGUAGUUGGUGAGAUUUUUUAAAAUAAAUUACGAUGGUGGUAUUGUCCAAAAUAUGUUAUCUAUCAAAUAUUUAAAUAAUUUAGGAGAGAUGGGGCGGAUGAGAUUUUUUUUUUGAAAUUUAUAAAGAAAACAAUUAAAAGAAAUUAAAAAAUAAAUUUAAAAAAUUAGUAAUCCAAUAAAAUAAUAUUUUUAAUAUAUAAAUAUUAUAUAUAAAUAAAUAUUUGUUAAUAUAUAAUAAUAAUUAAUCCAAUAAAAAUGAAUUAAAAAAAGUAACUAAAAUCAAUUAAUAAUCCAAUAAAGUAAUAUCUAUUAAUAUAUAAAUACUAUAUGCUAAAAGUAUUAUUUAUUAAAAUAUAAAUAUAAUAUAUUAAAAGUAAAUUUAUUGAUAUAUAAUUAUCCAAUAAAAUAAUAUUUAUUAAUAUAUAAUAAUCCUAUAAAAAGAAUUUAUAAAAAUAAGCAAUUAAAAAAAAUUAAUAUAUAAUAAUUCAGUGUAAUGCAAAAAUUGUCGUUAUAGUUUGUCAAAAAGAUAAAAUGAUAGAAGUGGCCCCUUAUGGUAAAAUUAUCUUUUUAAAAAAGUUAAUAACCAAGCUGUUAAAGUUAACGUGGUAGGGACCAAUAUUGCACAAGGUAUCCAAAAUUGGACAAUUAUAACCAUUUUUUCAAUUUUGUCUUGUAAGUAUUACAUAAUUUAUAUAAAAAAGGAUGUGGCCCCAUGCAUGUUCAUGUUUUUUUAUGGGUUGGAAAUUUCUAUCAUACUUUCAAUAAUUUUCUGUGUUUGCUUAUUUAAAUGUAGACAAAACCUCAUAAAUGGUCAUGUGAUUUUCUAAAAUCUUGGAUGCAAUCCUUAAUUUUAAAAAUCCCAUAGAUGGUCUAUGUGGUUUUCAAUUUAUAUCAUGGUUGGUCUGUCAUCCACCUAAAAAGACUUCUCUUUUUCUCUCUCUCUCUCUCUCUCUCAUAAGAGAACUGAUGAACCCCAAGGAGGUGGUAGAUUGGUUUGAAUGAAUCUUGCUUACAUGCAAAUACUUUCAUCACUAGCCAUAACCAAGGACCUCAAGCAAUGAAUGCAUCUAUUGGAUAUCCUAAAAAAUGGAGAGAAUUUCAUCGAGAGAAGAAGAUGAAAAUGCAUGAACUAACUGAAUACUUGAUCUAGGAACCUUUCAAGUUCACGAUCCAGUGGAGAUUUAGAAUCGUUCGCCUCCUCCGUAUGAAAUUUGAUAAUGAUCGUUUCUAAAUCCCAAGAUUGAUCGGAAUGCUCCAAACGACAUACUAGAUCUUCUUGUACACAACAUUUCAAUUAUAUAUCGCUAAAUUGAUUCUAUCGACGAAUAAUAACCAUCACGAACAAGCAAGCAACUUCAGAUAACUCAAUUUUACCUGAAAUUAUACAACGAAAACAAAGUUAUCUUGUAAAACCGUAGCUAAACAAUUCUCAAAAAAUUUCAGAAACCAAUAACUCCAUCACACGAUCACGCAUUACAUACAUACAAUUCAAAGCAUGUUUAACAACAAAUUCCUAACUUCUCUUGUAUAUUAACAAUCGGUAUAGAACGAUUUCAGAAAACUAGAUGAAUACUACUAGAAAAAUAUAAGAAAAUGUAUUCCGAUGUGGGGGAAGAAAGGGGAUAGGGAAGAAGAUUGGUAGCGGUGUUAUUUAUUUUAUUUUAUUUUUUCUUUUUAAAUAUUUUAAUUAAAGAAAAAGAUAAAAGGAAUGAAAAUGGUAUAAAAGUCUUUUUAGGUGGGUGAGGGACCAACCGUGAUAUAAAUUGAAAACCACAAAACCAUUUAUAUAAGGUUUUUUAAACUUUAGACUAUAUCCUAGAUUUCGAGAAACCACAAUUACCAUUUAUGAGGUUGUCUUAAAUGUAUAUUAUUGUUGAUAUUUUUUUGUAAUCGAAUUAAUAUGAAAUUUAUAAAUAAUAAUAAAAAAGAUAUUUGAGCUAAAACCAUAUAAUUUUAACUUCUUAAAAAGCUAAUCGUGUAACUUAUAAGAUUUUUUUUUCCGAGUCAUAUUUAUCUGUUUUUCUAUAUCAAAACAAGAACAUCUUAGGUUAAAAAAUGUUUUACUUGUUCCUUAUUUUCGCCCACCUCCUCUGUAGAUAAUUGUUUUGAUUGAAGCUUUUUUUUUUUUUUUUUUUUAUAUUUUCGAGGUAUCGCCAUCAUGCUAUAUGUAGACUGUUGAUAUUUGUAAAUCGCACCAUGUAGACGAUAACAAAAGGGUUACCCUUGUUUGUUGGGAUGACAACAAAACAAUUUAUGCACUUUUGACAAACAUCAAACAAACUUUGAUGAAACUUGCAGAAUAAAACUUCUUAAAAACUUAAAUAAAAAACUGAACACAAUAUUUAAUGUGGUUUGGUCAAGGUGAUCUAUAUCCAUAUGUGUGUGUGUGUGAGAGAGAGAGAGAUGAUUUUAUUAAACUUCCAAGGACAAUUACAAUCACACACAAAUGUUACACCUCAUUUGAGCUCUCAAAACAAAAGAAACUCUCUCGAUUACUAACUACUCAGAAGGAUGUGAACUCAACCUCACAAUGAGUGUUCUUUUGAACUUAUUGUAUACAAGCACUCACACACACUCGCACAAAGAAUAUUGAAUGGGGAUAUGUGCCUAUUUAUAGACAAUCAUGGAAAACCCUAAUUCUGACGGGCCAAGCCAUCCAUAAUUAGCCCAUAAAGGGGAUACCCUAAUUUUCAACCAAUCACAGAAGGCCAUGUAGACGCUUUUGGAAUCUUCAACCUCAUGAACAUCAUCCGUAAGCAUCUUCCAUAAGCAUCACUCGUGAGCAUCAUCACAUGAGCAUUUUCCAUAAGCAUCAUUCGUGAGCAUCAUCACAUGUGCAUCCCUAGUGAGCAUCAUCCCACGAGCAUCAUCCGCGAGCAUCUUCCAUGAACAUCACCUGUGAGCAUAUCUCUUGAGCAUCAUUCGCGAGCAUCUUCCAUGAGCAUCACUCGUGAGCAUCUUCUAGGAGUGGCUCAUCAAAUGAUAUCAUGGCUAAACAAAGAACACAUGUGACACACCUUCAUCAUGCAACAUCACAAGAUGCUCCAUUCCAUUCUUAGGUGCUCCAUACCCCUUAUUAGAAGAUCUCAUCCUUUGUCUGAUGACCCAUUUCCUUCUUAAAUGGGUCGUUCCUUUAUCACAUGCUCCAUGAACUCCAAGUGCUCCAUGUUGAUUUCUGAUGCUCCAUUGCAACUCCAAGUACUCCAUGUACCUCCAAGUUCUUACUUGUGAUUCCUGAUGCUCACUUGCAACUCCAAGUGCUCCAUGUGUUGGACACGACUUCAUACCCCCAACAACCCUACACAUUAAAGCUAACUUUUUUUGUCUGUUACAUAAUUUCUUUUUAUGGUUUUUGUUUUUAUAAGUGCAAAUGAGUUCUCCGCGACAAUGCACAAGACAAGUUCAAUACUUGUUUAUAUUUAGUUUGCUUAUUUGACCGUAAUUUGAACACACACACAUUUAGUAUUAAUUUCUUGCAUCAAAUGCCCUCGAUUUUUUUACGAUGACAAAUAUCAUUAUGUUUAUUUUGAUAAAAAUGAUUUUAUAAAAACAUCAACCACAACCGAAAACAUUAAAAUAAUAAGAUGACACUUAACUUCCCUUGUUGAACCCAAAAUAUGGGAAACAUACUCCUUAUACGGGAGUAAUUUGUACAGAACACUUUUUAGCCGUACACAACAAUUUAUGCUUAAAGGAAUGUAUUGUACUACUAUAAAGCAUAAAUUGUUGCUUAUGGUUAAAAAGUGUUGUGCACAAAAUUAUCACCCUCGUUUAUGGUUAAAAAGUGUUGUGUACAAAAUUACCACCUUAUACAGAUAUGCCUACCCUCAAAUGGAGUACCUCACAAUGAUGAUGUAAUAAAAAUAGAAGUAUGCAGGGUUUAAAUAACAAUCAAGGAGAUCAUAUAUAAACAUGUCUUUCACCAUUUUGAAAAAUAACCAACUCCCAAAGACAAUUAAAAAAAACUCAUUUUGCAAAUAUUUAUGCAAAAAAAGUGAAAUCAUAUACAUCCAUAUCAAUAAUCUUGAUAAUAAACCACUCAUAAGCAUGCAUAAUAAGCAUAAAUGUCAAACAUGCACAUGAACUCAUGCAAAUUCUGGGACAAUUUGAACAACACAAGAUGAAAAUGGAUGAGUUCGUUUUUAUCUCAAGUGUUAUAGACAAGUUACCCCCAUCAUGGAAGGAUUUCAAGCACAUUCUAAAACUAUAAAAGGAAAAGUUGUCUGUUAUACAACUUGGCAACCACUUAUGAAUUGAAUAGGGCCUUCGGGUUUAAGAAAGUGGAGAAAUUAAAAGAAAAGGAUGAUCAUGGAUCUUCUUGUUAAUAUGAUGGAAGAUGAAAAAAAAAAUAACAAAGGAAAGAGAAAGAAGAAAGAUGACCAUCACAAAGGUUCCAACAAGAAACCAAAACUCGUGUGUUGGAAUUACAACGAACCUGGUCACUUGAAACAUGAUUGUGGUUUGAGAAAGAACAAGAAUUGUGCAAGCACAUAAGGACAAUGAUCUCAAGAUUAAGGUCUACAACCACAACAAGGAUGAUGAUCACACAUGGUGGAUAGACUAGGGGGCGACGAGUCAUGUAUGUAAAGUUUGUCACUUGUUCAAAGAUUAUGAAGUAGUAGAUGAUGGAUCGGUGCUCUAUAUGGGAGACCAUAAUAAAGCUCCGAUUUUUUGUCGUGGUUCAGUGUGUCUAGUUUUAAGUUCUCGAAAAAGUCUUAUUUUUAGAAAUAUUAUAUAUGUUCCUAAGAUUAGGAAGAACUUGGUAUUAAAUAAGUAUGAUUAUAAACAAGUGUAUUAAUAUGAUAAGUAUAUCUUAUCAAAGCGUGGUACAUUUGUAGGAUUUAGAUAUUUUAUUAAAGUGUGAUACAUUUA